UGAAGUCAAAUUUGUAUGGAGUUGGAACGUUUGCCUAUGUUUGCCGCUAGAGACACUGUCCAGCUACAUACAAAUUUCAGGUA
rnacentral:pre_miRNA from 1 species